rnacentral:snRNA from 1 species
GGAUGUGAGGGCGAUCUGGCUGCGACAUCUGUCACCCCAUUGAUCGCCAGGGUUGAUUCGGCUGAUCUGGCUGGCUAGGCGGGUGUCCCCUUCCUCCCUCACCUCUCCAUGUGCGUCCUCCGGAAGCUGCGCAUUCGGUCGAAUUCUCCGAUAGAGGAGAGGACUGUUCUUAGGUCAAGGGUAUAGGAGUAGCUGCGCUUCCCUGCUAGAACCUCCAAACAAGCUCUCAAAUUGUCACAAAUCUUCAAAAAGUUUCCUAAUAUAUUUAUUUUAUAAAAUCUGAAUAUAAUA